GAUGAACGCUAGCGGCAGGCUUAACACAUGCAAGUCGAGGGGUAUAGUAGCAAUACUAGAGACCGGCGCACGGGUGCGUAACGCGUAUGCAACCUACCUUGAACAGGGGAAUAGCCCAGAGAAAUUUGGAUUAAUGCCCCAUAGCGUAUUGAGUUGGCAUCAACACAAUACUAAAGUCACAACGGUUCAAGAUGGGCAUGCGUCCCAUUAGUUAGUUGGUAAGGUAACGGCUUACCAAGACGAUGAUGGGUAGGGGUCCUGAGAGGGAGAUCCCCCACACUGGUACUGAGACACGGACCAGACUCCUACGGGAGGCAGCAGUGAGGAAUAUUGGUCAAUGGGCGCAAGCCUGAACCAGCCAUGCCGCGUGCAGGAUGAAGCAUCUAUGGUGUGUAAACUGCUUUUGACGGGAAGAAACAGCUCUUCGUGAAGAGCCUUGACGGUACCGUAAGAAUAAGGAUCGGCUAACUCCGUGCCAGCAGCCGAC
rnacentral:rRNA from 1 species